GAUGUGUGCACUUUUCUGUGUGCAUGUGUGUGUGCGUGCACAGUUUAUGUAGGCAAGGAUGUGCUUUUGGUCCCUGGGGGGGCCUCUGCGUGAGUCAUCUGUGUCCCUUCACGUCAUCUCGUGGCAUAUUUUACGUCUCUCUAAAGCCUCUAUUCUCCAACUCAUCAGAGAAGCUGGACUUGAUUCCAGAUUAAGAACCACCGCUGUAAGCAACCUCGUUAGUCCCUUAAAACGCACGGGAAACUCACACCUUUAUAAAGAUGAGGGGUUUAGCAUGUUCUUUUCAUGAGGCCACCAAAGCCAUGCCACACAUCUUCGCUCUGUCAGACCCGGUGCUUAUGUGGACGAACCUUUUCAGACAGGUUGCAUGCCGUUCAGCCCCGCAGGAAGCCCUUUGCAGCUUCCUAAAUCGAAGCCAGUGCCCGUGCAGGGGGCAUGCAUCUCCCAGGGCCUGGGGCCACUGCACUGCGAUGUCACCCCUGCACCGUCCCCCGUCUCCUCAAGGUCAGCGGGCACCAUGAAAAAGCAUCUGGCCCCCGUGCAGGCCUCGUACCCAACACACGGAAACCUCUUAUAAAGUCACCUUACCCGGUCUCCCUUUGAAAAUGAUCCCAUUUAUGCUGUAGACUGUACCCGUGUCACCGUAAAACAAGUGACUGGGGGUGUUGGUCCUCUCAACGGGCAUUUGAAUCAGACCAGGCAUGAGGUCCAACAAAGAUGCAUCAUUUGAGUGAUCGGUUUUGGACUAAUGUGCCUAGAGGAUGACAGGAUGAAUGAAUCCAUUCAAGGUCCAGCCCUCGGUGCCCCCCACCUCAGUAUCCUCACCGUCUCUUUUGUCUGGCUUUCAAGCACGCUGCACAAACAGACGCCCGAGCGGCACACCCCCGUGGACCUUCUGUUGUGCCGUAUGGACCUACCACCUGGGGCACUCCCCUCCCUAGCAAGAAACGCCUCGUGGCUGAUACCAUCCUGAGGUCCUCGGAAGAGGAUGGGGGAAGGUCAGUCAGACUGGACUUGGCAGACGGACAAAAGGGCCAGAGCCAGGAAUGCAGGUGGCCUCCAAGCUUCGAAAAUAGCAUGGAAGUGGUUCUCCCGGGACAUGCAGAAGGGACACAGCCCUGCCUCCUCCUGCACCAUGGCCCGAGCCAACCAAAUAAUGCUGAGCAUUGAAUCAACGUUUGCUGGACUGAAUAGAACGGAAGUGCCCCUGACCGCUUCCAGCUCCGGGCACCUGGCAUUAUGCAGAGAAAAUCAUUAACUGUAGAUUCUACAAACUGUCUCCCUCCCUGGUUCUUUACUGCUUCCGCCACCUCUGAGAAAAGCCCGCAUGUUCCAUUCUUGGUCUGACCCACAUGGUAGACAUCUUCUGUCCUGCAAAUCUCUGAGGACUGUCCUUUUUUAGAAAGCUGUACAUAAAAUGGGAUGUGUUUCUUAUGCCAGAGGAA